ACUGUGCUCCAGCACUCACCACUGGCCUUCCUGGCGCAGAGCAGUGAGCAGUGUUGCUCUCCCACCACUGUGGUGCUCUUCUCUUGGGGAUCGACUGCGUCUACUCAAACUGUGAGCCACAAUAAACCCUUCCCUCCUGAAGUUAUUUUUGUCAGCAUUUUGUAACAACAGAAAAAAGUAACUAAAACACCACCUCUUUGACUAUCAAACCUGUCCUGGUCCACAAAGUAAUCAAUAACUUCUGUUAUUUACAACCUGCCAUUUCAAGUACCAAAUACUUCAAAUAACUGAGACAGUUGAAAUGCUAACUUUUCCCCCUUGGCUUUUUGGGCUGUUGAAUGCAGAAUCUACCAGAAGAUCAGAAGUUGUGCUUGAUGAAACUUUAACAAAGAUGUAAUUCUCAAUUGGAUCAGAUUGCUUUGGGAACUUACCAGUAUGCUUCCUUCGUGGUGGUGCCAUCGAUGCCUGAUGGAGAAUAAGUUCUUGGAAAAAUUUUCUUCGAUCUUCUUCAAUAGGCCUUUGAAUAUAUAAUACCUCUUCAUACUGUAUUCUAAAGAUACAUUUAACCUAUACAUACACACAUGCACAAAGAAAGAAAAUGCAAAAUUAAAAGCAUACAUAUUUAAUCAAA